rnacentral:misc_RNA from 1 species
AAGUCGUAACAAGGUUUCCGUAGGUGAACCUGCGGAAGGAUCAUUAUCGAGUCUUGACUGGGUUGUAGCUGGCCUUCCGAGGCAUGUGCACGCCUGGCUCAUCCACUCUACACCUGUGCAUUUACUGUGGGUUUCGGAUGGUGAAAGCGGGUCCCUUGCGGGGUUCGCAGAAGCUGUCCGGGCCUGCGUUUAUUAUAAACCCUUUAAAGUAUCAGAAUGUGUAUCGCGAUGUAAUGCAUCUAAAUACAACUUUCAGCAACGGAUCUCUUGGCUCUC